rnacentral:rRNA from 1 species
GAUGAACGCUGGCGGCGUGCUUAACGCAUGCAAGUCGUGCGUGAAGGGGUUUUCGGACUCCUGAAAGUGGCGAACGGGUGAGUAAUACGUAGAUGACCUGCCUUAAAGUGGGGGAUAACUACUGGAAACGGUGGCUAAUACCGCAUAGAGCUGUGACCGUUGGGAGGUUGCAGGGAAAGCUCCGGCGCUUAGAGAGGGGUCUACGUCCGAUUAGCUAGUUGGGGGGGUAAAGGCCUACCAAGGCGACGAUCGGUAGCUGGUCUGAGAGGACGGUCGCCCACACGGGAUCUGAGACUCGGUCCCGACUCCUACGGGGGGCAGCAGCGAGGAAUAUUGGGCAAUGGGCGAAAGCCUGACCCAGCAACGCCGCGUGAAGGAAGAAGGCCUUCGGGUUGUAAACUUCUUUUGUGGGGGAAGAGAGAGGACGGAACCCUGCGAAUAAGUCACGGCUAACUACGUGCCAGCCGCCGCCGUAA